AUUGAACGCUGGCGGCAGGCCUAACACAUGCAAGUCGAGCGGAUGAGAAAAGCUUGCUUUUCGAUUCAGCGGCGGACGGGUGAGUAAUGCCUAGGAAUCUGCCUGUUAGUGGGGGAUAACUCGGGGAAACUCGGGCUAAUACCGCAUACGUCCUACGGGAGAAAGUGGGGGAUCUUCGGACCUCACGCUAACAGAUGAGCCUAGGUCGGAUUAGCUAGUAGGUGAGGUAAUGGCUCACCUAGGCGACGAUCCGUAACUGGUCUGAGAGGAUGAUCAGUCACACUGGACCUGAGACACGGUCCAGACUCCUACGGGAGGCAGCAGUGGGGAAUAUUGGACAAUGGGCGAAAGCCUGAUCCAGCCAUGCCGCGUGUGUGAAGAAGGUCUUCGGAUUGUAAAGCACUUUAAGUUGGGAGGAAGGGUAUUCACCUAAUACGUGGGUACUUUGACGUUACCAACAGAAUAAGCACCGGCUAACUCUGUGCCAGCCGCCGCAGUAAGAC
rnacentral:rRNA from 1 species